GCCUGUGUGGUUCAGUGGAUAGAGCAUCGGCCUGCGUACCGAAGGGUCCCGGGUUCGAUUCCCAUCAAGGGCA
rnacentral:tRNA from 1 species